UACGUAGGGUGCAAGCGUUGUCCGGAAUUAUUGGGCGUAAAGAGCUCGUAGGCGGUUUGUCGCGUCGAAUGUGAAAUCCCGGGGCUCAACCCCGGGCCUGCAUUCGAUACGGGCAGACUAGAGUUCGGUAGGGGAGUCUGGAAUUCCUGGUGUAGCGGUGAAAUGCGCAGAUAUCAGGAGGAACACCGGUGGCGAAGGCGGAUCUCUGGGCCUUACCUGACGCUCAGGUGCGAAAGCUAGGGGAGCGAACAGG
rnacentral:rRNA from 1 species